UUCCGGUUGAUCCUGCCAGAGGUCACUGCUAUCGGGGUUCGAUUAAGCCAUGCGAGUCGAGAGGGUUCGGCCCUCGGCGUACUGCUCAGUAACACGUGGAUAACCUGCCCUAGGGGAGGGGAUAACCCCGGGAAACUGGGGAUAAUACCCUAUAGGUUACAGAUGCUGGAAUGCCCUGUAACCAAAAGCUCCGGCGCCCUAGGAUGGAUCUGCGGCCGAUUAGGUUGUUGUUGGGGUAACGGCCCAACAAGCCCGUAAUCGGUACGGGUUGUGGGAGCAAGAGCCCGGAGUUGGAUUCUGAGACACGAAUCCAGGCCCUACGGGGCGCAGCAGGCGCGAAACCUUUACAAUGCGGGCAACCGUGAUAAGGGAACCUCGAGUGCCUGUAAACGCAGGCUGUUCAGGUGUUUAAAACGCACCUGGAGAAAGGGCCGGGCAAGACCGGUGCCAGCCGCCGCGGUAAUACCGGCGGCUCGAGUGGUGGCCGCUUUUAUUGGGCUUAAAGCGUUCGUAGCUGGGUUGUUAAGUCUCUUGGGAAAUCUGGCGGCUUAACCGUCAGGCGUCUAAGGGAUACUGGCAAUCUUGGAACCGGGAGAGGUGAGGGGUACUUCGGGGGUAGGGGUGAAAUCCUGUAAUCCUCGAGGGACCACCUGUGGCGAAGGCGCCUCACCAGAACGGCUUCGACAGUGAGGGACGAAAGCUGGGGGAGCAAACCGGAUUAGAUACCCGGGUAGUCCCAGCCGUAAACGAUGCGCGUUAGGUGUAUCGGUGACCACGAGUUACCGAGGUGCCGAAGGGAAACCGUGAAACGCGCCGCCUGGGAAGUACGGUCGCAAGGCUGAAACUUUAAAGGAAUUGGCGGGGGAGCACCACAACGGGUGGAGCCUGCGGGUUUAAUUGGAUUCAACGCCGGA
rnacentral:rRNA from 1 species